rnacentral:rRNA from 1 species
AGUGAACGCUGGCGGUAGGCCUAACACAUGCAAGUCGAACGGCAGCACAGUAAGAGCUUGCUCUUACGGGUGGCGAGUGGCGGACGGGUGAGGAAUACAUCGGAAUCUACUUUUUCGUGGGGGAUAACGUAGGGAAACUUACGCUAAUACCGCAUACGACCUACGGGUGAAAGCAGGGGAUCUUCGGACCUUGCGCGAUUGAAUGAGCCGAUGUCGGAUUAGCUAGUUGGCGGGGUAAAGGCCCACCAAGGCGACGAUCCGUAGCUGGUCUGAGAGGAUGAUCAGCCACACUGGAACUGAGACACGGUCCAGACUCCUACGGGAGGCAGCAGUGGGGAAUAUCGGACAAUGGGCGCAAGCCUGAUCCAGCCAUACCGCGUGGGUGAAGAAGGCCUUCGGGUUGUAAAGCCCUUUUGUUGGGAAAGAAAGGCAGCAGGUUAAUACCCCGCUGUUCUGACGGUACCCAAAGAAUAAGCACCGGCUAACUUCGU